rnacentral:rRNA from 1 species
GACGAACGCUGGCGGCGUGCUUAACACAUGCAAGUCGAACGGAAAGGCCCCUUUGGGGGUACUCGAGUGGCGAACGGGUGAGUAACACGUGAGUAACCUGCCCUUGACUUCGGGAUAACUUCAGGAAACUGGGGCUAAUACCGGAUAGGAAUCCUUGCUGCAUGGUGGGGGUUGGAAAGCUUCGGCGGUUUUGGAUGGACUCGCGGCUUAUCAGCUUGUUGGUGGGGUAGUGGCUUACCAAGGCUUUGACGGGUAGCCGGCCUGAGAGGGCGACCGGCCACAUUGGGACUGAGAUACGGCCCAGACUCCUACGGGAGGCAGCAGUGGGGAAUAUUGCACAAUGGGCGGAAGCCUGAUGCAGCAACGCCGCGUGCGGGAUGACGGCCUUCGGGUUGGAAACCGCUUUCAGCAGGGGCGAAGCUUGUGAUGACGGUACCUGCAGAAGAAGCACCGGCUAACUACGUG